UAAUUGUUGCAGAUAAUUUUAUAAUCUAUAUCAUUCACCUGCAGACUUAAUUUACUAUAGUGGGCUUGUUAUGAUUGGUUAUUUAAUUGUCAUAUCCUUGCACAUCAUUAUCAUUAUUUAUUCUUGAGUUGGUAUUAUAAUUCUGUAUCCCUAUAUAUGCAUUCUGAUAUCUUUGUAUGCUUCUGGACAGAAAAACCAUUUGUCUGGCUUGCACAAACCUUAUUUCAAGCUAUCUUUUGACACGGUUCAACAAUUAAUGAAUGUGAAGAGUGACCUAUAGCAUGUCGUUCAAAGAAACCAGGAAAAAUUUGAUGCUGCAGAAGCAUAUGAGUCCAUUAUAGCAGGGAAAAGAGAACAAAGGCCUCAAGAUUUUGUAGACUGUAUUGUUGAUCUCCAGACACUGAGAAAUUCAUGACUCAGAUGUACGAUGUGGGCAAUGGUAUGACGUUAGUGUAUCCAGUACUGGUCUUAUGCUGGAAAUGAGGACAGAUCUUUUGCAACGUGCUGAAGUGCAUGUUUGUGCAUUUGAUAUUGAGACUACAAAGCUUCCUUUGAAAUUUCCUGAUGCUGAAUACGAUUUACUAAUGAUGAUUUCGUACAUGGUUGAUGGACAAGGGUACCUGAUUAUUAACAGAGAGCUUUCCUGAUAAGAAAAGAGUUGGGGGAGAUAACGUGGAUAGUUCCUUUGAAGCCUCAGACCGAAUAAAGAUGGAUAUGGGGCACUUAGAGGACCAUAUCAAAACCAAUAAGAAGCAAUCCCCUAAGGCUGAAGUUCAAAAUUCUUUAAAGCAAGAGAUUCUACAACUUGAGAAGAGAUUACAAGACCAAUUUGAGGUCCGCCGGGCUUUGGAAAAUGCAAUGGGAUAUAGGUCUUGCUCUCAGGAUAAUACAACUGGAACAGUAAUGCCCAAGCCAGCCACAGAGUUAAUAAAGGAAAUUGCAGUGUUAGAGUUGGAAGUAGUGUAUUUGGAGC